GGACAGACGGGGACAUUCGUAUUGCGGCGCUAGAGGUGAAAUUCUUGGACCGUCGCAAGACGAACUAAGGCGAAAGCAUUUGUCAAGAAUGUUUUCAUUAAUCAAGAACGAAAGUUAGAGGUUCGAAGGCGAUCAGAUACCGCCCUAGUUCUAACCAUAAACGAUGCCAGCCAGCGAUUAGCCUGAGUUCCUUAAAUGACUCGGCUAGCAGCUUCCGGGAAACCAAAGCUUUUCGGUUCCGGGGGAAGUAUGGUUGCAAAGCUGAAACUUAAAGGAAUUGACGGAAGGGCACCACCAGGAGUGGAGCCUGCGGCUUAAUUUGACUCAACACGGGAAAACUUACCUGGUCAGGACACUGGAAGGAUUGACAGAUUGAGAGCUCUUUCUUGAUUCAGUGGGUGGUGGUGCAUGGCCGUUCUUAGUUGGUGGAGCGAUUUGUCUGGUUAAUUCCGAUAACGAACGAGACUCUAGCCUACUAAAUAGACUGCUCAACUUUAUAGCUGCAUCACCUUGCAGUUGCUUCGGUGGCUGUAAGGCUGUGGUGACGUUGGCAGUGCUUCUUAGAGGGACAGGCGGCGGUUCAGCCGCACGAAACAGAGCAAUAACAGGUCUGUGAUGCCCUUAGAUGUCCAGGGCCGCACGCGCGCUACACUGAAGUGAUCAGCGUGCAAUUAACGUUUCCCACUCCGUCAGGAGUGGGUAACCCGUUGAACCUUCUUCGUGAUUGGGAUAGGGGAUUGUAAUUAUUCCCCUUGAACGAGGAAUUCCCAGUAAGCGCAAGUCAUAAGCUUGCGUUGAUUACGUCCCUGCCCUUUGUACACACCGCCCGUCGCUACUAC
rnacentral:rRNA from 1 species